rnacentral:rRNA from 1 species
CCCUUAGAUGUUCUGGGCCGCACGCGCGCUACACUGAUGCAUUCAACGAGCCUAUCCUUGACCGACAGGUCCGGGUAAUCUUUGAAUCUGCAUCGUGACGGGGAUAGAUUAUUGCAAUUAUUAAUCUUCAACGAGGAAUGCCUAGUAGGCGCAAGUCAUCAGCUUGCGUCGAUUACGUCCCUGCCCUUUGUACACACCGCCCGUCGCUACUACCGAUUGGGAAAAUUUUAGAGAGUCCUGGACUGAUGAUUGUUCGGCUUCACGGCCUUACUUUCGUCGGGAAAGAAUUCGAUAAUAUUUUUCUAGAGGAAGUAAAAGUCGUAACA